rnacentral:rRNA from 1 species
GUGUCAGCCGCCGCGGUAAUACGUAGGGUGCGAGCGUUAAUCGGAAUUACUGGGCGUAAAGCGUGCGCAGGCGGUUUUGUAAGACAGGCGUGAAAUCCCCGAGCUCAACUUGGGAAUGGCGCUUGUGACUGCACGGCUAGAGUAUGUCAGAGGGGGGUAGAAUUCCACGUGUAGCAGUGAAAUGCGUAGAGAUGUGGAGGAAUACCGAUGGCGAAGGCAGCCCCCUGGGACGUCACUGACGCUCAUGCACGAAAGCGUGGGGAGCAAACAGGAUUAGAUACCCCAGUAGUCC